rnacentral:misc_RNA from 1 species
AAGGAGUCUAACACAUAUGCGAGUGUUCGGGUGGCAAAACCAAGAGCGUAAUGAAAGUAAAUGUAGGUGGGCUCCGUAAGCUGCACCAUCGACCGGCCUGGAUUCUUUUGAAAGAUGUGAGUAAGAGCAUAUUUGUUGGGACCCGAAAGAUGGUGAACUAUGCCUGAGUAGGGUGAAGCCAGAGGAAACUCUGGUGGAGGCUCGUAGCGGUUCUGACGUGCAAAUCGAUCGUCAAAUUUGGGUAUAGGGGCGAAAGACUAAUCGAACCAUCUAGUAGCUGGUUCCCUC